ACUGGUCAUGUGAUGUACAUCUGACCUCCUGAGCAGAUGCAGAGGCAGCUGGGAAAUGUUAUCAGUCUCUGUAAUGACAUACUGUAUAUAAUUUAUGUGCUGUAGCGUGAGGAACAAUGUCAGAAAGGAUUACUCACAUAGUGGGGCCAGACACAACGACAACGCAGGAGGCAGAGACGCCAUGUGUCUCACAGAAGCCAGCAAGCAGGGACACCCUCUGACUCUGUCACAACCCCCUCUGCCUCUCCUUCUGAACCCCCCUCUCCCUCUCACUUCCAAUCCCCCUCUGCCUCUCCUUCUGAACACCCCUCUCCCUUUCACUUCCAAGCCCCCCUCCCUUUUCAACACCCCUGUCCCUCUCACUUCCAAGCCCCCCUUCUGCCUCUCCUUCUGAACCCCCCUCUCACUCUCGGUUCCACCCCCCCUCGGACACUAAUGAUGGAGAGGCCACAGCUUCUGGGGAUGAAGCUUCAGAAGCAACAUCCCAAAGCGAAGAAAAUGUUCCUGAGCAAAGAGAUGCCUUCAUUCGGGCUUGUUUGUCCAAUAUGGAGGGCUAUCUGGGGGGUUAUUACAUGAAGUAAUAGUGUUAAGAAAUUUAUCUUGAAUUUUUUUUGUUUAUUUUUAAAUUAACAAAAAAUUUAGUUUCUGACUUUGAAAAGUUUACAUUAGUAAAAAUUUGUACUUUAAACAA